rnacentral:rRNA from 1 species
GAUGAACGCUGGCGGCGUGCCUAAUACAUGCAAGUCGAGCGAACAGACGAGGAGCUUGCUCCUCUGACGUUAGCGGCGGACGGGUGAGUAACACGUGGAUAACCUACCUAUAAGACUGGGAUAACUUCGGGAAACCGGAGCUAAUACCGGAUAAUAUAUUGAACCGCAUGGUUCAAUAGUGAAAGACGGUUUUGCUGUCACUUAUAGAUGGAUCCGCGCCGCAUUAGCUAGUUGGUAAGGUAACGGCUUACCAAGGCGACGAUGCGUAGCCGACCUGAGAGGGUGAUCGGCCACACUGGAACUGAGACACGGUCCAGACUCCUACGGGAGGCAGCAGUAGGGAAUCUUCCGCAAUGGGCGAAAGCCUGACGGAGCAACGCCGCGGGAGGGAUGAAGGUCUUCGGAUCGUAAAACUCUGUUAUUAGGGAAGAACAAAUGUGUAAGUAACUAUGCACGUCUUGACGGUACCUAAUCAGAAAGCCACGGCUAACUACGUG